GAUAAACGCUGGCGGCGUGCAUAACACAUGCAAGUCGAACGAUGAAGAUUAAAAGAUUUCUUCGGAAUGAACUUAAUUGGAUUAGUGGCGGACGGGUGAGUAACGCGUGAGUAACCUGCCUUGUACAAGGGGAUAGCCGUUGGAAACGACGAAUAAUACCCUAUGACAUCAAAUAAUCGCAUGAUAAUUUGAUCAAAGAUUUAUCGGUAUAAGAUGGACUCGCGUCUGAUUAGCUAGUUGGUAGAGUAAAAGCCUACCAAGGCAACGAUCAGUAGCCGGCUUGAGAGAGUGUACGGCCACAUUGGGACUGAGACACGGCCCAGACUCCUACGGGAGGCAGCAGUGGGGAAUUUUGCACAAUGGGGGAAACCCUGAUGCAGCGACGCCGCGUGAUUGAGAAGGCCUUCGGGUUGUAAAAAUCUUUUGUAUGGGAAGAAAAUGACAGUACCAUACGAAUAAGGACCGGCUAAUUACGUG
rnacentral:rRNA from 1 species